rnacentral:rRNA from 1 species
UACGUAGGGACCAAGCGUUGUUCGGAUUUAUUGGGCGUAAAGAGCUCGUAGGCGGUCUGUCGCGUCGGCUGUGAAAACCCGAGGCUCAACCUCGGGCCUGCAUUCGAUACUGCGGUGCUUUGAGGACUGGAGAGGAGACUGGAAUUCAUGGUGUAGCAGUGGAAAUGCGUAGAGAUCAUGAGGAAGACCAGUGGCGAAGGCGGGUCUCUGGACAGUUCCUGACACUGAGGCACGAAGGCCAGGGGAGCAAACGGG